CUGCCCUCAAGCCCGGCUUGUGUGUUGGGUCCUCGUCCUUAGGGACAGGCCCGAAAGGCAAUGGCAGUACCGCGUCCGGUCCUCGAGCGUAUGGGGCUUUGUCACCCGCUCUGUAGGCCCGGCCGGCGCUCCGCCGACCAACCAAAAACUAUUUUUCA
rnacentral:misc_RNA from 1 species